GUCCUUCAUCUCACGAAAGCGUAGACUUGACUUUUUUUGUUAUUAUUAUUAUUAUUAUUUUUAUCUGCUUUGUGCAUGGACGCAGAAAGUGACAGCGAUGGAUUUAAUUCAUCUUAACACCUGUCACUUCAAGACAACUUCUCAUAACGUAUUCAUCUGCUUUUUCUUUUUUUCCUUUUUUUUUCAAUCCCUGUCUGAUGAUGUCACUCCUCUCAGAGGAUUUGAUGAUUUCCGAAGGCCCCUGACGUACUGUAGAUCACAGAGGAAGCCUGCUCAGCAGAAAUGAUUUAUGAAUCAAUUUUACAAGUUCCACUCACGCUUGCCAAAUGACUGCCUCCGCUCAAUAAACUAGAGCAGAUUUUUCAUUGUUUUCAUCGACGGCUUCUUUGUGGUAUGUGUUUUGGAAUUUUGCAAUUCUGUUUUACUGAACAAAUGUCGGUCCAGGUCAUGAUACCGUGAUAUGUUUAUUUGUUACAAGAGUGUGAGUUGGAAUUUCAGCAAUUUUCUCUUAAAUGAACAAAUCAAACGAAUCUCACCAUAUGCUGUGUAAAUAUGUGUAUAAUGUUUUUUUUUCCACUGAAUAUAGUCCAACUAGGUCUAGAAUGAGUAAUGACAGCAUUUCACACCGCAUUUACUGAACCUAUAAUCAGCUAAUGGCACAGUGCAGUAAAACUGAAAUCAAAUAGAAAGGAUUCAUGGUCCAUUUUAGGGAGACCAAAGCCUUUGUUACUCUAUUAUAGCAGUUCGUAAGUGCACCAUUAAAAGACAUCUGCAUGUGUAUAUAAGCCUUUUGAGCCUAAUCUUAGCUGGUAGAUAGACACUUUGUAAAUGUUGUGCUAGAUGAAUUGCCAUUAAUAUUUGUUUUAUAUGUUAGUCAACAACUUAGAUACGUGUGUUUUUGUUGCUAAACCCUAUCUAGGCUUUAUUAGACUCUCAGACAAUUAUAUAGAACAUUAAAGGCAUUAAGUGCUCUACUGAACUUAGAGAUACAAGCGCUCGCUCUGUUAACUCAUUUCUCUCAUGAAACAACAUUGUUUUCUGUAAAAGGGCUCACUGCCAUUAAUUCACCUCUGUGGACAUCAGGACAUGAAGACAUUUGGACAAUGCGUCAUCCAGCAAAGGUCACACAUUCCAUCUUAUGAAAUAUUUGGACUAUUUGACAUAUUGUCUGACAAGGCAAAUUUCUUACCCAAAAUAUAAACCGAAAAUAAUUUAUUCAUGAAAACUGUACAUUUUAGGUGAAUAGAUGUUCUGAAUGUCCUUCUAUCACUUGUAUUGUAAAACUUGUAUUUAUUUUUCUUUACACAUUUAGUGCAUGUACUAAUUCUAUACCCUUUCUCUAACUGUUACUCAUUUAGAAACAAAAUACAACCAAAGUUCCUUGAUUAUCCAGCUGAAUAUGAACCGAUAUAUAUUUAGAGAAGAAAUCUGGUAGUUGUGGAACUCUGUUGGAAAACUGUUUCUUGCUUGUGCCUUUUUUUCACUUCACCCAUUAAUUCACACCUAAUAAAACCUUUCUGUGAUUUGGCAAUAGAUUUGGGGCUUUCGGGUGAUUUUAGAUCGAUCGAUCGAUCUAUCUAUCGAUCGAUCUAUCUAUCUAUCUAUCUAUCUAUCUAUCUAUCUAUCUAUCUAUCUAUCUAUCUAUCUAUCUAUCUAUCUUUGUGCAAGAAUCAUUUGUCAACAUAGCCUUAGAAUACCAUCAUGUGCUAUGUCUGCUACAUAUCCAGCAAUAACUAAUAGCGAUCCAUGCCAGGAAUCUCCUAGUAAGCGACAUAGAGAAGAAACAACACCACCACUAUCCCACGAGCUCUGCACUCAAAGCUAGAACUGAAGAAUUGCUAUUCCAGUACACAUGAAAGCUAAUUUCCCUGCCACGUCCGACAGCACACGCCGGAAGGCAGAGUAUUGUACAGAAUUGUUUCUGAAUACACUUUCAAAUGUGCUAGCCUUGACAGUUAGGGCUGUUUUGGCAAAUUAUUUGUUUGCUAAUGAAUAUUUGUACUCAAAUCACACUUUUGCCACUUUUGUCAUUAUCACUCCCUGCUGCUACUUUUUCAUUUCCAGUGUCUGGGAGUCAAGCCAAUAGCACACUAAUGUUCAUUAGACAAGUGAUGUUCCGCCAUUGUCCUGCUGUCACCUACAUUUUCAGAUCACUCUCCACAUCUUCAUGAAACCUCAUAUUUCAUUGUUGUUGUUUUUUUUCUUUACCUUUAAAUUUUGGAUAGCGUAAACCGUAGCUUUUGCUGAACUUAGGUUACAAGUACAAAUCAGUAACAAAAUUUCAAGUAGAUUUGUGUUUUGGUGACCAAAAAACAUUUCCCAUUUAUUAGUAUAGAAGAAGCACUUCAUUUUACUACAUGAAGUGGAAAAUAUUUAUCAAAAUGACUUAUAGAUUAUAAAAGUACUUACUAAUUACUUGUGACCUAAUUUACUUUACUUAAAGUGUAUUUAGACAUGCUAAUAUUUUAAAAAGAAUAUUUGCAAAUUAAUGUAAUUCUUCAAUUAUUCCAAUACUUAUUUGACCAGUCGAUUGCUUUAAGACUACACAUAAAGUCUGGCGUACCUAAAGAGUACUUUAAAAUGUGGCAUUGAUAUUUAAAGGUGUCUGUAUUAUUCAUUAAGCUUUGUUAGUUUAGCAAAUUAAAUGAUAUUUGGUGUUUUAAGUGAACCUGUGUAAAAAUUUGAUGAAAAUUAUGUGUCUUUGAUUGAGUGUUUAUUACAGUUUAAUGUAGAAAAUGUUUGAAUGGAAAGCAAGAUUAAUGAGAUUUAAUGCAGCAUUUUGAGUCCCGAGUUUGUACGAGUGGGUUUUGCUAUGAAACAUUUUUGUUUCGUCUGUGCAUUUCUUCUAAUGAUGAUUGAUGAUUGGUAGACCUCUAAAAGCGGUGGAGUCUUAUAAUCAAUUACCAGUCACAGAACACUUCAUGAACCUGACUGACAUCUCAAACCUAAAUCGGAAUCGUUCACAACCUGCUGUAUCGGUGUCAUUUGUAAAUAUUGUAUAUAAACAAUAGUUUUAAAGCAUAAA